rnacentral:misc_RNA from 1 species
GCAGGAGUCACUGACUUGGUCUUGCUCCUCUUUAGGGCGUGAUGUUUUACAAAGAGAGAUACCAAAUUUGGUUUCUUUCCCUUUUCCAGAACCUGUUUCAUGUGAGGAAAUAGUAAAAGUUUGAACUGGAGUUGCAUGUGAAGAAGCAUCUACAUUAGACCUCGGACUCGUAGCUGUUUCCGGUAAUGGAACUAAUGUUUCAAAUGCCUGAACAAGCAAAGCUACUUUUCUUUUCUGGGCUGGGGCUAGUUUAGAAAUAACAUGUUGAAGUGCACAAUCAAGCAUCCCUUCCUCAGAAGUUUUGCUGUCUUCCAUGGUCUGAUGCCGUAGAUGAAUCUUAUCCGCUCCACGUCCAGGCUGUACUGGCAGAUGUGGUGACUUCCACGGAUUGAAGUUCCUCACCUUCUCCAAUGCUUUAACAAAUCUCUUGAGGAUAAUCAUCUUUCUCAGAUUACUCCAGCUCUUGGGCUGUUGCUGUUUAGAUUUGCUUACCAUGUUUGAUUGUGCUUCCUCUCUUUUUGGCCCAUUUAUAUUAUAUUCUUUGUGCCGCAUUUCUUCCAGAUCUUGCACCAUGCUUUCUUUACCUGAAUCAGAGAAAGUUAACAUCCUCAAUUCCCCACUUGCACCAUGAUUCUUUUCUCCCUUGUCUGAAUUGCUGUUAUACGCAAUUGAUUGAUCAUCAGAUGAGUGGUCAGGAAUUUCAGAGAGGAUUAUGUCAAAUGCUUCCUUUACCAAUUUAAUGGCAUUGUGAAGGUAAAGCUGAAUAUUAUGGCUGCCUCUAUCGUGAUCAUACACCUCCAUGCCCUGACCUACUCCACAAAAAUCUGAACAAGAAUCUGAAUUGUUCAUUGCAGGCAAAGUGUUUGAAUCUUCUCCUUGUUCUUCCUUAUCCAUUUUCUUAAGAAGCGGCUGCUUUUCAUCGUCUGAAGCAAUGCCUGAUACCAUAUGUUGAUAUAUCAGGUUCCACAAUCCCAUAUGUUUCUGCUUUUCCAUUUGGAUUUUCUCCACUACAAGGGAGUUGCAAUCGGGCUCUGAAUCUCUCGAUGGGAACUGAUAGUCUUGCACAGGAUCUUCAUUCUUUCCCUUACUGUCUGCAGUCUGUUCAUCUAGUUGUUGAGAUACGGAAGCAGAAGAAAUCAUAUCAUUGAUUGCACUUGAUUCCACAAAUGCUUUUGUGCUUAAGCUUCUAGAUUUAUCAAUGGGCUCUUUAGCUACACUCGUUGACGCAGUUGCCUCUGAAGUGUUCAAUUCUGAAUCGACUUUGUACACAUCAAAGUUCAAACUUGAAACUCUAUCUUCCUUGACAUCUUGGUAAACUUUUCCAUCCACUGGAAUUUCCUCAUGGCAGGUGUAAGUAACAUCAUCAAAGGGCAGCAUAUCACACCACUGUCCAGGAUCUUCAACCUUUUGUAAGAUGAUAUU